rnacentral:rRNA from 1 species
GGGAGGAAAGUAGGGGAUCGCAAGACCUUGCGCUUUUGGAGCGGCCGAUGUCUGAUUAGCUAGUUGGUGAGGUAAAGGCUUACCAAGGCUUCGAUCAGUAGCUGGUCUGAGAGGACGACCAGCCACACUGGGACUGAGACACGGCCCAGACUCCUACGGGAGGCAGCAGUGGGGAAUUUUGGACAAUGGGGGAAACCCUGAUCCAGCCAUGCCGCGUGAGUGAAGAAGGCCUUCGGGUUGUAAAGCUCUUUCAGCCGGAACGAAAAGGUUACGGUUAAUACCCGUGACUAAUGACGGUACCGGAAGAAGAAGCACCGGCUAACUACGUGCCAGCAGCCGCGGUAAUACGUAGGGUGCGAGCGUUAAUCGGAAUUACUGGGCGUAAAGCGUGCGCAGGCGGUUUUGUAAGUCAG